AUUGAACGCUGGCGGCAGGCCUAACACAUGCCAGUCGAGCGGAUGAAGGGAGCUUGCUCCUGGAUUCAGCGGCGGACGGGUGAGUAAUGCCUAGGAAUCUGCCUGGUAGUGGGGGAUAACGUCCGGAAACGGGCGCUAAUACCGCAUACGUCCUGAGGGAGAAAGUGGGGGAUCUUCGGACCUCACGCUAUCAGAUGAGCCUAGGUCGGAUUAGCUAGUUGGUGGGGUAAAGGCCUACCAAGGCGACGAUCCGUAACUGGUCUGAGAGGAUGAUCAGUCACACUGGAACUGAGACACGGUCCAGACUCCUACGGGAGGCAGCAGUGGGGAAUAUUGGACAAUGGGCGAAAGCCUGAUCCAGCCAUGCCGCGUGUGUGAAGAAGGUCUUCGGAUUGUAAAGCACUUUAAGUUGGGAGGAAGGGCAGUAAGUUAAUACCUUGCUGUUUUGACGUUACCAACAGAAUAAGCACCGGCCAACUUCGU
rnacentral:rRNA from 1 species